rnacentral:rRNA from 1 species
AUACGUAGGUGGCAAGCGUUGUCCGGAAUUAUUGGGCGUAAAGCGCAUGUAGGCGGUUUGGUAAGUCGGUCGUGAAAAUGCGGUGCUUAACGCCGUAUGGCGAUUGAAACUGCUGAACUUGAGUGCAGGAGAGGAAAGGGGAACUCCCAGUGUAGCGGUGAAAUGCGUAGAUAUUGGGAAGAACACCGGUGGCGAAGGCGCCUUUCUGGACUGUGUCUGACGCUCAGAUGCGAAAGCCAGGGUAGCGAACGGGAUUAGAUACCCCGGUAGUCCUGGCCGUAAACGAUGGGUACUAGGUGUGGGAGGUAUCGACUCCUUCCGUGCCGGAGUUAACGCAAUAAGUACCCCGCCUAGGGAGUACGGCCGCAAGGCUUAAACUCAAAUGAAUUGACGGGG